UUUGGAAUUUUUUUCUUAGAUGAUACUUUCUGCUUUUGCUAUGGAAACUCCAAGAGUUUCUGGUUGAGUGUUUAAUAGUCUAAAUAGUACCCAUGGGAUGAUCUGGGUUUGCAAGCAAGUCAUUUAUGACUCUCAGUUACUAGCACUUUUUUUUAGUGUGUAUUCUGAGAUGCUGACAAUAUUUGGACUAUUCAUUCCCAGGUACAAUAUAUUACUGUUUUUCUGUUAUGAAUAGCUAGGGUUGCAUUUUACUUGUUGCCUGUGGCUUCUGACAGAUUUUGUUACUCUUUUCACAGUGCUUACAAAUUAAUUCACGAUGUUUCAUAAUGCUGUGACUCCCAUACUGCAGGGUGCAGAAGAUGCGGACUUAAUGGCUAAUGCAAGUGAGGUGCAGUAGCUUAAAUUGUAGCUUUAUAAACAUAUUGAAACUUGAAACUUGAGAAAACAGUUUAUUUAACCUUACAAUAAAUUUUGCAAAAUAGAAUAUCUUUGAUUAUCAUAUUUUAACCUGAAGGAAUUUUUUCUUUGCAUUUUAUAAAAGAUUGAAACACUGUUGGCAAUGAUAUGGACACAGAAAUACUAUUUACUAUAUUUUAUUUUCUACAGUCUGGUUAAAAGUAGCAUGCAAGUAAUUGAAUAAAAAUACUUGUAUAUAUGACUUAUUUUGAAAUAACAAUUAUACCAGCAAUGGAUAAAAAUCUUGCCAUGAAAAUUUAAAUGAAAGUAUGACAAAAAGAAAACAAUUUUUGACCUGAAAAAAAUAUUUGUUUCUGUUAUCCUUCACAUAUCCUAUUCAUUUUAUACUGUAAUGGGCUCUAAAAAAUAUUUUCAUACAUUUUAAACUGUUUUUAUAUUGUUAAAACAUUUUAACAAAAGAAGGGCAUGAAUAAUUAAGAAUGCUGGAUUGCUUGCAAGAGAAUCUUCUAUUUACACAGGCUAGCCCAUACUGCUCAGCACUCUGAUGAAACCCAUCUGACUUCUACAUACGUCUGGUACCAGAUGGUACAUACUGCAUGCUUGAACAUGGAUUUCUAUCAAGUUGAAUAUUUUCCCUCAACUUAACUAACCACAUGAAGGCAUAUUUUGCACCACAUCUGGUCAUUCUUGUGCUUUCUAAAUAACAACCUUUUGUAAAAAUAUGCACACAUGUCCUUAAGGUUGCCAAGUGCAUGCUAAAUGUUAACAAACAGAACGGAUAAUAUGCAGAUUGGCUUUUUUUUAAGACGUAUCCUAAAUUUAAAGAGCUAUCAUGAUGCAAUUCCUGUAAUAAUGACCCCUAGAAGGGAACUGCAGACUCUUAGGCAUCUCACUCCAGAGAGAUAUCCGCAGCAACUCGAAGGCAGUUGUACAUCUCCUGUGGCAGGUCAGCCCGAGUGAGAUUGUUUCCAUCCAGGCGUAAAUGUGUGAUCUUGGAAUAGGUCAGUGGUCCAACAACCUUACAGAAGCUGCUCAGUGGGAACUUGUUAAUUUUGUUCACUUGGAGGUAGAAGUUUUCAAGAUUCUCACUGACAGUUGGAAUACUCUUCAGCUGAUUGAAAGACAGAUCCAACUCGACCAAUGAUGUGAUAUUGAAGACAUUGCCUGGUAUUCCAGAAUCUGUUAAUUUAUUGUGCGAUAAACGUAAAUAUUGCAGAGUUUUAAAACCUUGGAAGUAUUCAUCAGGAAUAUUGGAGAUCUGGUUAUUGUCAAAAUACAGCAUGAGUAAGGAGUGAGGCAGUCCUGUUGGUAGCUUUGUAAGUUGAUUGAAGCUUAAGUCUAGAUACAAAAGUGAAUUCAGACCUUUAAAUGCCCCAGAAAUAGAAUCUGUUUUCAGCUGGUUGUUCUGGAGAUGAAUGACAGUCAGAUUUACCAGCCCCUCAAGUGCACCAGGGUUGACUUUUGUGAUCUUAUUGUGACUUAAUUGCAGGUCAUCCAGAGUUUUGGGGAGCGGUCCAACAGCUUCUGUCAAAUUGUUGUAGUUAAUGUGAAGUUUCUUCAGAUUCUUUAGUUUAGAGAAGACUCUUCCCUUAAUUUUUGAGUUUUCCAGAUGAUUGUGAUCUAGGAUCAGCCACUGCAGGUCUGUUACAUUAUCAAAUGUGUUCUCUUCAAUGGCCUCAAUCAUAUUGUUUCGAAGAUAAAGGUAUUUUAUUCCACUUGGUACAAUUGGAAUGGUUUUCAGUUUAAGAUUGUCACAAUACAUUGCAGUGGGAUAGCUUAAAGGACAAUUACAUUCUGGGGCACAGACUGCUGUGGAUGGCCCAAAAGGGUCAUAGCCAUAAUCAUCUGCAGGACCAUAGUCAUACUGGCAAAAAAUGCCACUAAUCAAUACUAGAAAGAUGGGUAGAGAGUUUAAAGUCAUCUUUUCAAUGUGUCUUGUCUCUUACUGCCUUGAAGCUGCUUUCCUUAAUUCCCAGAGCAGAUGCAAUAAGGGACUGUAUCGACCAAUAUAUGCUGUAAACAGUGACAGGAGGUAAAAGUCUGCCAGAUCCUCAGUGUUACAAGAGGAAAAAAAAAAAAAAAAAAAAAAAAAGACCCUGAAAAAAAAAAAAAAACUAGUCAGGCUGUUCUCUGAAGCUGCUAUGUCAUCAUGGUGAUCUUGUGGUGUGGCAUGUAUGAAAAUGCAGCUCUCUUAAUGAAGUGCAGGUGGAUACCACAUUCUGUACAAGGACAACCCAUCUGCUGUUCCUGUGGGAUGACACAAUGAUAAGUUUUUCACAAAUCUGAAAAAGUUUAGAUCACUAGCCGUGGCAUUAUACAAAGAUUUUCUGUAUUUUAGAGGAACAACAUUUUCCUUUAUAAAACAAAUUAUAAACAGACUUUUGUUUUCCAACUUAUUUUAUACUGCUAGACAUGAGUUAACAAAUAGCACUCAGACCUCAAUGCUGCUGUACUUCUUUAGCCAAGUGACUCAUUCUUUUUUUUUUUUUUUUUUAACUAUCUUAUGUCCACAAUAAAAUAUCCUUAAUAAAACUUCUAGCUUAAGGACAGGAACAAAAGUGUCAGGAUUAUCUUUGAAUUACAUCAUUUUACUCAACAUAAGAUACUGAGUUCAAAGUUUCUUCCACAAAUUCUAGUAAUUUACUUGGUCUGUAACUUUUCUUUGGUGAUUAAAUGCAUGCCUGUUUAGUACAAACACAUCACCAGGAAUGGUUUUUGUGUUGUAUUUUUUUCCCCAGCAGUUACUGUAAACUCACUUUAUACAUUUGUUCAUUUUUGCACUUACGGCUUUCUCCUGCUCUUCAGAAUCUGGAACUACUCAGCUUUACAUUGUCUGUUUCUUAUUCCAUGGAUGUAGUUCAAGAAUGCAUCUUACAGCUUGGAUGAGAAUGCUAUUUUCACUGGGAAAUGCCAAAAAAUAAUGCACUGAGACAGUAACUGUUUAAAGUGGAUCUUACUGUUUCUCCCCUUAUCUCUAAAUGGUAGAUGUCUUCCCCUUUAAUGAGAUGCAACCUCUCUGUUCUAAAGCUGGAUGGGACAAAUGUGAAAUGUGCAUAUUGAAAGAAUACAGGAGCCAGUUUAAAAAAUCUUGCAUGUUUAAUUAUAUUUAACCAUAAUUGUUGUUGAUACAAGAGUGCAAACACUCCUGUUUUUAGCCCUGUGCUUUUGUUUUGUUUUGUUUUGUUUUGUUUUCUCUGGUGCCACCUGUACAGCAUAAAUGAUCUUUCAGAACUUCUUGCAAUCCAUUUCUUUGCACUUCUUUAACUCACAAGUUUUGAUUUAACUCUCAUGCCCAUGAAGGCAACAAGAUUGUUUACCUUUAUGAACAGUCACAGUACAUGAUGUAGGUAGGUUGGAGAAUCCAAGUGGCCUCCCGCUGCAGAGGAACCUAGUCAUGGGUUUCUGCCAAGAUCUGCUACUGCUACAUCUGGGCCUUCAUGUCAGUGGGGUCACUGGUGGCAGAGGCAGGCCAGGCAUAAUUCUGUGCUCUUCACAGAGAAUGAGAAAUACACCCAGUGAUUGCAAAUCCCUGGGCUACAAAUUCCUGUACUUCUGUCAUAACACAAUUAGCAAACAAAACUACUUAAGACAGUGCCAAAUGCCAGUGCAGCCCUGAGGGAGUGAAUUUAAUUGUUUUGAUAUUCUACCACCAUGCAUGUCACCCUGGCACUGGAAAACCAUUUACAUGUUAGAAAACAGAGGCUGAUGACAGGUCAUAAUUACACGUCCUGAGUGAUGCAGAUCAGCUAAAUGGUUAAGAGUGUUUGUAAUCUUUAAAAUCGCUACAGUAAAUUAAGCUAAGUAGGUGAAAAGUGCAUGGGAUAAGGACUGGAAAUGUACAAGUGGACAAAGCUGUUGUUGUCCUGUGCAUGGACAAAUGGAGACCAGAUGGAGUUUCUCAUUCUCGGUAUGAUACUUCUCUGAAAAUUACUUCAUUAGUUUCAGUUGACCAAGGAAAACCUAAGCUGUAGCCUUGAUUUCAAAGGGAGAAAAAAGCAAGAGCAUUCAGAAAACAAUCUAAUUGAAACGAAAGGAUUUUGAGUACAGAAAAAGAAUGUCUCAGAAUGCCCUUUAAGUAGCCCUGUGGUUUGCUCUGGGAAAGAAGGUACAGCAAGGUGAGCAACAGAGCAUGACAGUUGUAAAGAUAAUUUAACAAACCACAGGGAUUUGUAUUCUCUGAUUAAAAACCUUUUCUGAAAGACAAGAACAGUACUGUAUAAAAAUUAAUAUAUAAAUCAAUCUUUCAGUAAUAGACAUGAUUUUACUUUUGCAGUAUAAACAGAACUACAUAUUGAUGGAAAUACAGGAUGGUGAAGGCUCAAAACAUUUUUGGCAAAGGUAUAUCGAUGUACUAGAUGUUUAUUACUCCAAUUUAU
rnacentral:lncRNA from 1 species